rnacentral:lncRNA from 1 species
CUCUUCAAUAGAAUACCUCUUCAAAUAUUUGAUCCCAGGUUGAGAACAAUGCUUGGUUCAUAGUGGUUUCUCAAAAAAUAUUGAUCAAUUGGAUUAUCUGUUGCAGUAAUGAUAUCUGAGUCAUCAUCAUCCAUUCCUGCCAGAAAGAAACUACAAAGCUAAAACUUGUCUGACAAGUCAAGGAUUCACUAGCAAUCAUUUAACCCUACAAUAGCUUCUCUCUGGAGAGUUUUGCAGGCUUCUUCCCUCCCGAUCUGUCUGCCAUUUUUCUCUGAGGGCUGCUUUCAGAAGUCAGACUUCCCUGUAAAGGAGAGACUGGGCUGUUAUUGCUUCUUAAUCCUUCCCGGGAAAACUUAGAAGU